rnacentral:rRNA from 1 species
GACGAACGCUGGCGGCGCGCUUAACACAUGCAAGUCGAACGGAAAGGCCUGCUUUCCCUUGUGGAUUGCGGGUACUCGAGUGGCGAACGGGUGAGUAACACGUGAGUGAUCUGCCCCCAACUUGGGUAUAAGCCUGGGAAACUGGGUCUAAUUACCGAUAGGACUGCAGGGUGGUGCCUGUGGUGGAACACGAUUUUCUAGUGGUUGGGGAUGAGCUCGCGGCCUAUCAGCUUGUUGGUGGGGUAAUGGCCUACCAAGGCGGCGACGGGUAGCCGGCGUGAGAGGCUGGACGGCGUCAUUGGGGCUGAGCCGCGGCCCAGACUCCUACGCGCGGCCGCAGUGGGGACUAGUGCACGAUGUGCGGAAGCCUGAUGCAGCGACGCCGCGUGGGGGAUGACGGCCUUCGGGUUGUAAACUCCUUUCGACCGCGAGGAAGCCACCUGGUUGGGAGGGUGGUGACGGUAGUGGUAGAAGAAGCACCGGCUAACUACGUG